GUGGGGAAUUUUGGACAAUGGGCGCAAGCCUGAUCCAGCCAUGCCGCGUGAGUGAAGAAGGCCUUCGGGUUGUAAAGCUCUUUCAGGUGGAAAGAAAACGCAUGGGUCAAUACCCUGUGUGGAUGACGGUACCAUCAGAAGAAGCACCGGCUAACUACGUGCCAGCAGCCGCGGUAAUACGUAGGGUGCGAGCGUUAAUCGGAAUUACUGGGCGUAAAGCGUGCGCAGGCGGUGAUGUAAGACAGAUGUGAAAUCCCCGGGCUCAACCUGGGAACUGCGUUUGUGACUGCAUCACUCGAGUACGGCAGAGGGAGGUGGAAUUCCGCGUGUAGCAGUGAAAUGCGUAGAUAUGCGGAGGAACACCGAUGGCGAAGGCAGCCUCCUGGGCCAGUACUGACGCUCAUGCACGAAAGCGUGGGGAGCAAACAGGAUUAGAAACCCCGGUAGUCC
rnacentral:rRNA from 1 species